rnacentral:misc_RNA from 1 species
GAUGAAGAACGCAGCAAAAUGCGAUACUUGGUGUGAAUUGCAGAAUCCCGUGAACCAUCGAGUUUUUGAACGCAAGUUGCGCCCGAAGCCUUUUGGCCGAGGGCACGUCUGCCUGGGCGUCACGCAUCGCGUCGCCCCCCACAAUUCUCCGUAAAGGGAACAUGUGUUUUGGGGGCGGAUAUUGGUCUCCCGUGAUCAUGGCGUGGUUGGCCGAAAUAGGAGUCCUUUCGAUGGACGCACGAACUAGUGGUGGUCGUAAAAACCCUCGUCUUUUGUUUCGUGCUGUUGCUCGCAAGGUAAACUCUUUAAAAACCCCAAUGUGUCGUCUCUUGACGACGCUUCGACCGCGACCCCAGGUCAGGCGGGACUACCCGCUGAGUUUAAGCAUAUCAAAAGCGGAGGA